AUGUAAAUAGCGCUUGCUAGAACAGUUUUUGAAAUGGUUUGAGGCCUUGCCCUGCUGUAUCCAGAGCAAGGUUAUAGAAAUUCCAGACAAUU
rnacentral:snoRNA from 1 species